rnacentral:rRNA from 1 species
UACGGAGGGUGCAAGCAUUAAUCGGAUUUACUGGGCGUAAAGGGCGCGUAGGUCGAAAGGCAAGUCAGAUGUGAAAUCCUGGGGCUCAACUCCAGAACUGCAUUUGAAACUACCUUUCUAGAGGAUAGGAGGAGAAAAUGGAAUUCCACAAGUAGCGGUGAAAUGCGUAGAUAUGUGGAAGAACACCAGUGGCGAAGGCGAUUUUCUAUCUUAUUCCUGACGCUGAGGCGCGAAAGCUAGGGGAGCAAACAGG